rnacentral:rRNA from 2 species
CGGGUACUUSUGCAKAGMUGCCUYAGUGCCUUCSGGAACCGUGAGACAGGUGCUGCAUGGCUGUCGUCAGCUCGUGUUGUGAAAUGUUGGGUUAAGUCCCGCAACGAGCGCAACCCUUAUCCUUUGUUGCCAGCGGUCCGGCCGGGAACUCAAAGGAGACUGCCAGUGAUAAACUGGAGGAAGGUGGGGAUGACGUCAAGUCAUCAUGGCCCUUACGACCAGGGCUACACACGUGCUACAAUGGCAUAUACAAAGAGAAGCGACCUCSCGAGAGCAAGCGGACCUCAUAAAGUAUGUCGUARUCCGGAUUGGAGUCUGCAACUCGACUCCAUGAAGUCGGAAUCGCUAGUAAUCGUGGAUCAGAAUGCCACGGUGAAUACGUUCCCGGGUCUUGUACACACCGAA